rnacentral:rRNA from 1 species
AUCGAACGCUGGCGGCAGGCUUAACACAUGCAAGUCGAGCGAGCGGCGGACGGGUGAGUAAUUUCUGGGAAACUGCCUGAUGGAGGGGGAUAACUACUGUAAACGUUAGCUAAUACUGCAUACCAUCAGAUGUGCCCUGGGUGGAUUAGCUAGUAGGUGGGGUAAUGGCUCACCUAGGCGAAGCUCCCUAGCUGGUCCGAGAGGAUGACCGGCCACACUGGGACUGAGACACGGUCCAGACUCCUACGGGAGGCAGCAGUGGGGAAUAUUGCACAAUGGGCGCAAGUCUGAUGCAGCAAUGCCGCGUGUGUGAAGAAGGCCUUCGGGUUGUAAAGCACUUUCAGCGGGGAGGCGUUACUCAAAGAGAAAGCACCGGCUAACUCCGUGCCAGCAGCCGCGGUAAUAC